rnacentral:lncRNA from 1 species
UUACAAGUUUUGCACAGUAGUCUUCAGGAAGUCUGUCCAUGUCCGUGGGUCUUUCAUGAGCUCAUCCUGGGCAUUUAGGUUAGAUAGGCAGAAAGGUGUCUUUUAAAAACAACAGUGGGCCGGGCGCGGUGGCUCAGGCCUGUAAUCCCAGCACUUUGGGAGGCCGAGGCGGGCGGAUCACGAGGUCAGGAGAUCGAGACCAUCCUGGCUAACACGGUGAAACCCCGUCUCUACUAAAAAUACAAAAAAUUUGCCGGGCAUGGUGGCGGGCGCCUGUAGUCCCAGCUACUCCGGAGGCUGAGGCAAGAGAAUGGCGUGAACCCGGGAGGCGGAGCUUGCAGUGAGCUGGGGCUUGCAGUGAGCCGAGACUCGAGACUCCGUCUCAACAAACAAACAACAAAAAACAAAAGCAAGAGUAUUAGGACAGAGUGUGGGUCAGAAUUGUAGACAAGUUCCUAGGAGUUGGGGCUGUCUAUUGCUCCACAGGGAAGAUAUUUAAGAAGAUAUUUAACAGUAAACAGUGAAAUCAUGUGUAUGUCUGGGCAUACCUGAGGAAAAAUCCCUGAAAGUAGGCAGAAUCAGUGGUAUCAAGAUUAUGAACAUUGAAAAUGUUGACAGCUAUUGAGAAAUUGCCCCUCAAGGAGAUGAUGACUGUUUGGACGAACGGAGGCAAGAUGGCGCACUUCCGGGUUCUUCAUCACC